rnacentral:rRNA from 1 species
CUCCGACCUCAGAUCAGACGAGAAUACCCGCUGAAUUUAAGCAUAUAAUAAGCGGAGGAAAAG